AGCGCGAACGGAAGUUCACGUUACUCACAGAUGCUUUAUAAAGUAGAAAAAUUGAUUAUAAAAUGUGUUAUUAAUAUGAAGCAAAGAUUAAAAAGCAUCAGCGAAUAUCUCCAAAGGAAGUGGCAUCCGAUUUAUAACUACAUUGCGUUUAAUUGUGGAAAUAGUAAUCGCAAUGAAACAACGCAAAUUAUCUGUUAAACAAGGGGGAUGUUUACAUUUUCGAGGGUCAAUGACCUCAACUUGAGAAUUCAAUAUAAGAAGUUCCGAGCAACGUGCUUUAUUCUCGAAUUAUGUGAAAAUCGACAACAUAAGGCAGUGAUCGUGUAUAAAAUGCAAAUUAAUUGACGGAUGGAUUCCAGAAUUUCGAGGUUAUGCAAAGAUUGCAAAACAUCAGUGAAUAUCUGUGAAGGAAGUGGCAUCCGAUUUGCAGCUACAUUGCGUUUAAUCGUGAAAAAAAGUAUUUCGAGAAUUUAACUAAAUAAAUUACACUUUACAGCAAUCAUUGACACAACGCAAAUUAUUUGUAUCUCCAAACAAGGGGGAUGUUUACAUUUUCGAGGGUCAAUGACCUCAACUUGAGGAUUCAAUACAAGAAGUUUUGAGCAACGUGCUUUAUUCUCAAAUUAUUUUUAUGAAAAUCGACAACGUAAAGCAGUGAUCGUGUAUAAAAUGCAAAUUAAUUGAUGGAUGCAAUGGAUUUCAGACUAUUGAGGUUAUGGUACAAUUUUCUCGGAAGAACAGAGAGAGUGUUUCGGAGCAGGAGGUGAAACAGAUCGAGUAUAGCCGAGCGCUGUUCAAAAUUCUAUCCUCGAUGGCUUUUGGUGUCAUGUACUUUAAAGAUAAGGACGAAUAUAAAAAAGGGAGAGGAUUCACAGGAUUUUUCAUAUUAAUAUUCUAUCCUGGAUGGCUUGUGGUGUCACGUACUUCAAAGACAAGGGCAAAAGUAAAAAAGGACAUCGAAUUCUUCACUUUCAGACUUUUUAGAUCUCGGUCUAUUUUGACGGUUAUUUUUCACAUUCUCCAAAUGGAAAUUUAAUUUGAAAGUAGGGAUCUCCGAGGGCUAUUUAGUUUGAAAG